UGCCAGCCGCCGCGGUAAUACGGAGGGUGCAAGCGUUGUUCGGAAUCAUUGGGCGUAAAGAGCAUGUAGGCGGCGAAGUAUGUCUGGUGUGAAAGCCCGGGGCUCAACCCCGGAAGUGCACUGGAAACUGCUUCACUUGAGUCCCGGAGGGGGUAACGGAAUUCCUGGUGUAGAGGUGAAAUUCGUAGAUAUCAGGAGGAACACCUGUGGCGAAGGCGGUUACCUGGACGAGGACUGACGCUGAGAUGCGAAAGCGUGGGGAGCAAACAGGAUUAGAUA
rnacentral:rRNA from 1 species